GCCUGUGCUCAGUCAGUAGAGCUUGAGACUCUGACUCUCGUGAGUUCAAUCCCCACGUUGGGCA